rnacentral:lncRNA from 1 species
CUUAUCUCAAAAGUUUUAAGUUUCUAUGGCAUUCCAAGCUGGCACCACCAGAGGAUUGCCUAGGGAAGUCUUUGUUCUAACUAAUAAAUGUAUAAACUUUGCCUUCUUUUGAACUCUAUAGCAGCCAGUAUGAGCUAUGGACUAGUUAUUACUCAAGAAGAAGUUUGAUGCACAUACAGGAUAGAUGAUCUCUGUAGAGUUUAACAACAUUAUGAUCUGACUUACUGCUUAGGGUGGGAAGACAUUGAUGGCUAAUGCUUGUAUAUGAAACUGAUAUGUGAAACUUACAUAUUUUUGUUUAAAAAUGUUAUACUUUAAAAAUAUUACUUUGUGCCUGUGUUCAGGAAAUACUCUUUGGAAUGAUUUUGGUUCUGGAUUGUCUGAUCUCUAAUCCUUUAGUUCUCACAGUGACUGGCUUACAAAAAGUAUAGUUCACUUCAGCAAUUCAUACAGAACCUUUAAAGAGGAUUUAAACUUCCUAUUAAAAGCACAAUUCUG